UCAAAAGCAAAACAAAUCAAAGGAAAAUUUUAUAGUAAAACGAAUCUAAAUUAAGUAACUUAACCAAAUUUUUCUUAACGAAAUCUAAAACUUUGAAAGUAUAUUGAUAAAUCAAUUAUUUUAAUACACCUGGAGACGAGUAAUAGAUGUCCCAAACAAAGAUGAACAGAAUGAGAUAGGAACCAAAGAACAUCUAAGAAAAUCAAGUCAAUAGUAAAGAAAUGUGAAACAUGCAAACUCACUAAAUAUGACAGACAUCCACAACA